GGCAGGGAUAACCGCUGAAGGCAUCUAAGUGGGAAGCCCCCCUCGAGAUGAGAUAUCUCACAACGGAAGGUUGGUAAGGCGUCCCUGAGACGAAGGGAUAGAUAGGUCGGGAGUGUAAGAGCCGCGAGGUUUUUAGCUGACCGAUACUAAUACGCCGAGGCCUUUUCCU
rnacentral:rRNA from 1 species